GUUGAGGUAUAUGAUCUUAUUUUUAGAUUGAAGAUUAUAAGAUUAACUUUGCUAGAUGACGUAAAGUCUGCUAUGGAGAUUUUCGAGCAUGUCCAAAUUUUUGAUUGUUAUCCUAAUAUCUUCAUUGCCUACUGCAUCUUAUUGACUAUGCCUGUGACUGGCUUACAAAGUUGA
rnacentral:rRNA from 1 species